rnacentral:rRNA from 1 species
UACAGGGGGGGCAAGCGUUGUUCGGAAUUACUGGGCGUAAAGGGCCAGUAGGCGGCCAACUAAGUCCGACGUGAAAUCCCCAGGCUUAACCUGGGAACUGCGUCGGAUACUGGAUGGCUUGAAUUCGGGAGAGGGAUGCAGAAUUCCAGGUGUAGCGGUGAAAUGUGUAGAGAUCGGGAGGAACACCGGUGGCGAAGGCGGGUCUCUGGGCAAUUCCUGACGCUGAGGCGCGAAAGCGUGGGGAGCAAACGGG